rnacentral:rRNA from 1 species
AGUGAACGCUGGCGGUAGGCCUAACACAUGCAAGUCGAACGGCAGCACAGUAAGAGCUUGCUCUUACGGGUGGCGAGUGGCGGACGGGUGAGGAAUACAUCGGAAUCUACUUUUUCGUGGGGGAUAACGUAGGGAAACUUACGCUAAUACCGCAUACGACCUACGGGUGAAAGCAGGGGAUCUUCGGACCUUGCGCGAUUGAAUGAGCCGAUGUCGGAUUAGUUAGUUGGCGGGGUAAAGGCCCACCAAGGCGACGAUCCGUAGCUGGUCUGAGAGGAUGAUCAGCCACACUGGAACUGAGAAACGGUCCAGACUCCUACGGGAGGCAGCAGUGGGGAAUAUUGGACAAUGGGCGCAAGCCUGAUCCAGCCAUACCGCGUGGGUGAAGAAGGCCUUCGGGUUGUAAAGCCCUUUUGUUGGGAAAGAAAAGCAGCAGGUUAAUACCACGCUGUUCUGACGGUACCCAAAGAAUAAGCACCGGCUAACUUCGUG